rnacentral:rRNA from 1 species
GAUGAACGCUGGCGGCGUGCCUAGUACAUGCAAGUCGAGCGAACGGACGAGAAGCUUGCUUCUCUGAUGUUAGCGGCGGACGGGUGAGUAACACGUGGAUAACCUACCUAUAAGACUGGGAUAACUUCGGGAAACCGGAGCUAAUACCGGAUAAUAUUUUGAACCGCAUGGUUCAAAAGUGAAAGACGGUCUUGCUGUUACUUAUAGAUGGAUCCGCGCUGCAUUAGCUAGUUGGUAAGGUAACGGCUUACCAAGGCAACGAUGCAUAGCCGACCUGAGAGGGUGAUCGGCCACACUGGAACUGAGACACGGUCCAGACUCCUACGGGAGGCAGCAGUAGGGAAUCUUCCGCAAUGGGCGAAAGCCUGACGGAGCAACGCCGCGUGAGUGAUGAAGGUCUUCGGAUCGUAAAACUCUGUUAUUAGGGAAGAACAUAUGUGUAAGUAACUGUGCACAUCUUGACGGUACCUAAUCAGAAAGCCACGGCUAACUACGUG